CCUACGGGUGGCAGCAGUGAGGAAUAUUGGUCCAUGGGCGCGAGCCUGAACCAGCCAAGUAGCGUGAAGGAUUACUGCCCUACGGGUUGUCCACUUCUUUUAUAAAGGAAUAAAGUGAGGCACGUGUGCCUUUUUGUAUGUACUUUAUGAAUAAGGAUCGGCUAACUCCGUGCCAGCAGCCGCGGUAAUAAGGAGGAUCAGAUCGUGAUCCGGAUUUAUUGGGUUUAAAGGGAGCGUAGAUGGGGUGUUAAGUCAGUUUUUAAAGUUUGUCGCUCAACCGUAAAAUUGAAAUUGGUACUUGCAGUCUUGAGUACAGUUGAGGUAGGCGGAAUUCGUGGUGUAGCGGUGAAAUGCGUAGAUAUUAGGAGGAACACCAGUGGCGAAGGCGGCCUGCUGGGCUUUUACUGACGCUGAGGCUCGAAAGUGUGGGGAGCAAACAGGAUUAGAUACCCGUGUAGUC
rnacentral:rRNA from 1 species